rnacentral:rRNA from 1 species
AGAGUUUGAUCCUGGCUCAGGAUGAACGCUAGCGGCAGGCCUAACACAUGCAAGUCGAGGGGCAUCACGAGGUAGCAAUACUUUGGUGGCGACCGGCGCACGGGUGCGUAACGCGUAUGUAACCUACCUAUAACAGGGGCAUAACACUGAGAAAUUGGUACUAAUUCCCCAUAAUAUUCGGAGAGGCAUCUCUCCGGGUUGAAAACUCCGGUGGUUAUAGAUGGACAUGCGUUGUAUUAGCUAGUUGGUGAGGUAACGGCUCACCAAGGCAACGAUACAUAGGGGGACUGAGAGGUUAACCCCCCACACUGGUACUGAGACACGGACCAGACUCCUACGGGAGGCAGCAGUGAGGAAUAUUGGUCAAUGGACGCAAGUCUGAACCAGCCAUGCCGCGUGCAGGAAGACGGCUCUAUGAGUUGUAAACUGCUUUUGUACGAGGGUAAACGCAGAUACGUGUAUCUGUCUGAAAGUAUCGUACGAAUAAGGAUCGGCUAACUCCGUGCCAGCAGCCGCGGUAAUACGGAGGAUCCAAGCGUUAUCCGGAUUUAUUGGGUUUAAAGGGUGCGUAGGCGGUUUGAUAAGUUAGAGGUGAAAUUUCGGGGCUCAACCCUGAACGUGCCUCUAAUACUGUUGAGCUAGAGAGUAGUUGCGGUAGGCGGAAUGUAUGGUGUAGCGGUGAAAUGCUUAGAGAUCAUACAGAACACCGAUUGCGAAGGCAGCUUACCAAACUAUAUCUGACGUUGAGGCACGAAAGCGUGGGGAGCAAACAGGAUUAGAUACCCUGGUAGUCCACGCAGUAAACGAUGAUAACUCGUUGUCGGCGAUACACAGUCGGUGACUAAGCGAAAGCGAUAAGUUAUCCACCUGGGGAGUACGUUCGCAAGAAUGAAACUCAAAGGAAUUGACGGGGGCCCGCACAAGCGGAGGAACAUGUG